UGAGGUAGUAAGUUGUGUUGUUGUUGGGGAUUAGGAUAGAGCACCCCGUAUCGGAGAUGACUAUACAACUUACUGCCUUCCU
rnacentral:pre_miRNA from 1 species